CCACGCCCUGUCAUAGACCACGCCUUGUUUUGGAGCAUUGAUUUGUGAAGAAGUCAAACUCAGUCAAAUAAAGCUUUUCUGGGUCUACAUUGACUUGAAUUUUCAUCUCGUUCUAAUUAAAGCCCAUCUCUACAAACAAUGGGUAGAGGGUUUGGUUCAUUGGGUGUACGAGUAAGACACAUCAUAACCUACUCACUCUCUCCCUACGAGCAACGGGCCUUUGCUGGAGUGCUUACCAAAUCACCAGCUAAUUGGCUGAGGCGAAUAUCAGAUCAACUACCCUACAUGGCACCUGGUUUCAUCAGUCUAUGGUUCAUUAUCCAUUACUCAAAGAAAAACCAUGAUAUGAGGUUGAGGAAGAAUCUUGAUGACUAUGCUAAUGAAGAAUAACUAUUACUUGCUAGUGCAUAAUAUUAUUAUAAAAUUAAUGUUAGCUAGACAUGUUUAUUAGUGAUUUAAGUAUUUAUGAUUUCAGUGAUAAAUAAAUAUCACACACUACGACAGUA